CACGAACCCGACAAACGUUAUUCGGAAUUAUUGGGCUUAAGGGGUGCGUAGGCGGUGCGGUAAGUGCGGGGUGAAAGCCCACGGCUCAACCGUGGAAUUGCGCUGCAUACUGCCGUGCUGGAGUAAGACAGGGGUAAGCGGAACUGAUGGUGGAGCGGUGAAAUGCGUUGAUAUCAUCAGGAACACCGGUGGCGAAAGCGGCUUACUGGGUCUUUUCUGACGCUGAUGCACGAAAGCUAGGGUAGCGAACGGG
rnacentral:rRNA from 1 species